rnacentral:lncRNA from 1 species
UGACACCCACACAGGGGCUCUGAUGUGAUGGAAAAGCAAACAUCAAGGUCCAAGAGAGCUGCACAAAAGCAGCGCUUUCCAGCUGCUCUUGCCUGCUCUGGGUGACCUCCUGGGCAGUUAUGUGGUGCUGGGGAGGAGACAGGAGGCUGAGAUGUGAUCCCAGAUGUCUCAGACACCCUCAUCCUCUGCAUAAUAAGAGACCUCCCUGGCAGCAGGGGGAUGAGAAGAGGAACAACCUACUUUGAACCCUCACCAGGCUCAGCAUGAGACCAGC